rnacentral:rRNA from 1 species
CAGUCGAGCGGACAGAAGGGAGCUUGCUCCCGGAUGUUAGCGGCGGACGGGUGAGUAACACGUGGGUAACCUGCCUGUAAGACUGGGAUAACUCCGGGAAACCGGAGCUAAUACCGGAUAGUUCCUUGAACCGCAUGGUUCAAGGAUGAAAGACGGUUUCGGCUGUCACUUACAGAUGGACCCGCGGCGCAUUAGCUAGUUGGUGGGGUAAUGGCUCACCAAGGCGACGAUGCGUAGCCGACCUGAGAGGGUGAUCGGCCACACUGGGACUGAGACACGGCCCAGACUCCUACGGGAGGCAGCAGUAGGGAAUCUUCCGCAAUGGACGAAAGUCUGACGGAGCAACGCCGCGUGAGUGAUGAAGGUUUUCGGAUCGUAAAGCUCUGUUGUUAGGGAAGAACAAGUGCGAGAGUAACUGCUCGCACCUUGACGGUACCUAACCAGAAAGCCACGGCUAACUACGUGCCAGCAGCCGCGGUAAUACGUAGGUGGCAAGCGUUGUCCGGAAUUAUUGGGCGUAAAGGGCUCGCAGGCGGUUUCUUAAGUCUGAUGUGAAAGCCCCCGGCUCAACCGGGGAGGGUCAUUGGAAACUGGGAAACUUGAGUGCANAAGAGGAGAGUGGAAUUCCACGUGUAGCGGUGAAAUGCGUANAGAUGUGGAGGAACACCAGUGGCGAAGGCGACUCUCUGGUCUGUAACUGACGCUGAGAGCGAAAGCGUGGGGAGCGAACAGGAUUAGAUACCCUGGUAGUCCACGCCGUAAACGAUGAGUGCUAAGUGUUAGGGGGUUUCCGCCCCUUAUGCUGCAGCUAACGCAUUAGCACUCCGCCUGGGGAGUACGUCCCAAGACUGAAACU